rnacentral:rRNA from 1 species
CAGCCGCCGCGGUAAUACGGAGGGAGCUAGCGUUGUUCGGAAUUACUGGGCGUAAAGCGCACGUAGGCGGCUUUGUAAGUUAGAGGUGAAGGCCUGGAGCUCAACUCCAGAAUUGCCUUUAAGACUGCAUCGCUUGAAUCCAGGAGAGGUGAGUGGAAUUCCGAGUGUAGAGGUGAAAUUCGUAGAUAUUCGGAAGAACACCAGUGGCGAAGGCGGCUCACUGGACUGGUAUUGACGCUGAGGUGCGAAAGCGUGGGGAGCAAACAGGAUUAGAUACCCCGGUAGUCCCUGUCUCUUAUAC